rnacentral:rRNA from 1 species
UACGUAGGGUCCGAGCGUUGUCCGGAAUUACUGGGCGUAAAGAGCUCGUAGGUGGUUUGUCGCGUUGUUCGUGAAAACUCACAGCUCAACUGUGGGCGUGCGGGCGAUACGGGCAGACUUGAGUACUGCAGGGGAGACUGGAAUUCCUGGUGUAGCGGUGGAAUGCGCAGAUAUCAGGAGGAACACCGGUGGCGAAGGCGGGUCUCUGGGCAGUAACUGACGCUGGAGGAGCGAAAAGCGUGGGGAGCGAACAGG